GACGAACGCUGGCGGCGUGCUUAACACAUGCAAGUCGAGCGGUAAGGCCUCUUCGGGGGUACACGAGCGGCGAACGGGUGCGUAAUACGGGGGUGACCUGCCCUCAGUUCGGGGAUAAGCCUGGGAAACUGGGUCUAAUACCGGAUAUGACCUUUAUUCGCCUGGGGUUUGUUGGAAAGUUUGUUCGGGUGGGGAUGGGCCCGCUGCCUAUCUGCUUGUUGGGGGGGUGGUGGCAUACCAUGGCGACGAAGUGUCGCCGGCGUGAGAGGGCGAGGGGCCACACUGGGAGAGAGACACGGCCCAGACUUCUGCGGGGCAGAGCAGUGGAGAAUAUUGCGCAAGGGGCGGCAGCCUGGCGGAGAGACGCCGCGUGGGAGGUGGCGGCCUUGGGGUUAUAAACCUCUUUCGAGCCAGACGAAUAUGGACGGUAGGGGUAGAAGAAGCUCCGGCCAACUACGUG
rnacentral:rRNA from 1 species